rnacentral:rRNA from 1 species
AUGAAGCUGGAAUUGCUAGUAAUGGCAGGUCAGCAUACUGCCGUGAAUACGUUCCCGGGCCUUGUACACACCGCCCGUCACACCAUGAGAGUUGGGAAUACCCGAAGCCUGUGAGCUAACUGUAAGGAGGCAGCAGUCGAAGGCAGAAUCAAUGAUUGGGGUGAAGUCGUAACAAGGUAUC